AGAGGAGGAGAUCAGGUCAACACAGACAUCUACUGCAAGAGAGGAGGAGAUCAGGUCAACACAGACAUCUACUGCAAGAGAGGAGGAGAUCAGGUCAACACAGACAUCUCCUGCAAGAGAGGAGGAGAUCAGGUCAACACAGACAUCUACUGCAAGAGAGGAGGAGAUCAGGUCAACACAGACAUCUCCUGCAAGAGAGGAGGAGAUCAGGUCAACACAGACAUCUACUGCAAGAGAGGAGGAGAUCAGGUCAACACAGACAUCUCCUGCAAGAGAGGAGGAGAUCAGGUCAACACAGACAUCUACUGCAAGAGAGGAGGAGAUCAGGUCAACACAGACAUCUACUGCAAGAGAGGAGGAGAUCAGGUCAACACAGACAUCUACUGCAAGAGAGGAGGAGAUCAGGUCAACACAGACAUCUCCUGCAAGAGUCAGGAGGGUGAGAUCAGGUCAACACAGACAUCUCCUGCAAGAGAGGAGGAGAUCAGGUCAACACAGACAUCUCCUGCAAGAGUCAGGAGGGUGAGAUCAGGUCAACACAGACAUCUCCUGCAAGAGAAGAGGAGAUCAGGUCAACACAGACAUCUCCUGCAAGAGAAGAGGGGAUCAGGUCAACACAGACAUCU